UGGAGAGUUUUAUCCUGGCUCAGGAUGAACGCUGGCGGCGUGCUUAACACACGCAAGUCGAACGAUGAAGCCCAGCUUGCUGGGUGGAUUAGUGGCGAACGGGUGAGUAACACGUGAGUAACCUGCCCCUGACUCUGGGAUAAGCCCGGGAAACUGGGUCUAAUACCGGAUAUGACCAUGGGACGCAUGUCUUGUGGUGGAAAGAUUUAUCGGUUGGGGAUGGACUCGCGGCCUAUCAGCUUGUUGGUGAGGUAAUGGCUCACCAAGGCGACGACGGGUAGCCGGCCUGAGAGGGUGACCGGCCACACUGGGACUGAGACACGGCCCAGACUCCUACGGGAGGCAGCAGUGGGGAAUAUUGCACAAUGGGCGCAAGCCUGAUGCAGCGACGCCGCGUGAGGGAUGACGGCCUUCGGGUUGUAAACCUCUUUCAGUAGGGAAGAAGCGAGAGUGACGGUACCUGCAGAAGAAGCGCCGGCUAACUACGUGCCAGCAGCCGCGGUA
rnacentral:rRNA from 1 species